rnacentral:rRNA from 1 species
UGCAGUCGAACGAUAGAUAAGGGCUUGCUCUUAUCGAAAGUGGCGCACGGGUGCGUAACGCGUAUGCAACCUACCUUAAUCUGGGGGAUAGCCCGGAGAAAUCCGGAUUAAUACCGCAUAAAAUCACAGGAUGGCAUUAUCCAAUGAUCAAACAUUUAUGGGAUUGAGAUGGGCAUGCGUGUCAUUAGCUAGUUGGCGGGGUAACGGCCCACCAAGGCGACGAUGACUAGGGGAUCUGAGAGGAUGGCCCCCCACACUGGUACUGAGACACGGACCAGACUCCUACGGGAGGCAGCAGUAAGGAAUAUUGGUCAAUGGAGGCAACUCUGAACCAGCCAUGCCGCGUGCAGGAAGACUGCCCUAUGGGUUGUAAACUGCUUUUAUCCGGGAAUAAACCACAUUACGUGUAAUGUGCUGAAUGUACCGGAAGAAUAAGGAUCGGCUAACUCCGUGCCAGCAGCCGCGGUAAUACGGAGGAUCCAAGCGUUAUCCGGAUUUAUUGGGUUUAAAGGGUGCGUAGGCGGCCUGUUAAGUCAGGGGUGAAAGACGGUAGCUCAACUAUCGCAGUGCCCUUGAUACUGAUGGGCUUGAAUGGACUAGAGGUAGGCGGAAUGAGACAAGUAGCGGUGAAAUGCAUAGAUAUGUCUCAGAACACCGAUUGCGAAGGCAGCUUACUAUGGUCUUAUUGACGCUGAGGCACGAAAGCGUGGGGAUCAAACAGGAUUAGAUACCCU